ensembl:snRNA U1 U1 spliceosomal RNA
AUUCUUAUCUGACAGCGGAGACACCAUUAUCACAAAGGUGAUUCCCCAGGGUUAGGCUUGUCCAUUGUGCUCCGGAUGGGCUGACCCCUACUAUUUCCCCAAAUGUGGGAAACUCAACAACAUAAUUUAUGGUAGUAGGGGACUGCAUUCUUGCUUUCCCCCU